rnacentral:rRNA from 1 species
CAGUAACCACGGGAAUACGGAGGGUGCAAGCGUUAUCCGGAUUUAUUGGGUUUAAAGGGUCCGUAGGCGGACUUAUAAGUCAGUGGUGAAAGCCUGUCGCUUAACGAUAGAACUGCCAUUGAUACUGUAAGUCUUGAGUAUAUUUGAGGUAGCUGGAAUAAGUAGUGUAGCGGUGAAAUGCAUAGAUAUUACUUAGAACACCAAUUGCGAAGGCAGGUUACCAAGAUAUAACUGACGCUGAGGGACGAAAGCGUGGGUAGCGAACAGGAUUAGAUACCCCUGUAGUCCCGUCUCUUAUACA